GAAGAGCGUCGUCGCAUUGAGUUGUACCUUAAAAAAAUCCCUCGCUCGAUAUUCGUCAUGCUUUACGUGGUCAUGUACGCCUUUGUUUUCUUCAUUAUUUUCAAAUUAUCCGGAUCUUCAGGUGUUGAAAAAGCAGGGAAUUUGAAUGUUCCAGACGUCGUGGUUCAAAAAUCUGAAUCACCCCCGGGUAGAUGUGCAGCACUGCCACUAACAUUAAUACCUGCCCCCACGAUCGACAUGACUUGCAUCGUUCUCCCCCUUGCAUUGCUACUUAGCAUCAAUUGAUGCAAAAAGGUCGUUAACAGACGGACGGACGGACGGACGGACAAGAGGAAUUCAAUAGCUCCCGUGCUACGCAGGGUGAGCUAAUAAUUACUAUUAGAGAACACAUAAAAUAGGAAAAACACCAUUACCAAUCUAAUAUUGUUUUGCUACACUCUGGUUAUAAAAUUUUACGAAAUGUGAAAUGUGCUGAAACCAAUUUCAGAAUAUUUUUUACUUGCUUAUUAGCUCAUAUAAUUUUCAU